rnacentral:rRNA from 1 species
GCAGGCGGUUUUCUUAAGUCUGAUGUGAAAGCCCCCGGCUCAACCGGGGAGGGUCAUUGGAAACUGGGGAACUUGAGUGCAGAAGAGGAGAGUGGAAUUCCACGUGUAGCGGUGAAAUGCGUAGAGAUGUGGAGGAACACCAGUGGCGAAGGCGACUCUCUGGUCUGUAACUGACGCUGAGGAGCGAAAGCGUGGGGAGCGAACAGGAUUAGAUACCCUGGUAGUCCACGCCGUAAACGAUGAGUGCUAAGUGUUAGGGGGUUUCCGCCCCUUAGUGCUGCAGCUAACGCAUUAAGCACUCCGCCUGGGGAGUACGGUCGCAAGACUGAAACUCAAAGGAAUUGACGGGGGCCCGCACAAGCGGUGGAGCAUGUGGUUUAAUUCGAAGCAACGCGAAGAACCUUACCAGGUCUUGACAUCCUCUGACAAUCCUAGAGAUAGGACGUCCCCUUCGGGGGCAGAGUGACAGGUGGUGCAUGGUUGUCGUCAGCUCGUGUCGUGAGAUGUUGGGUUAAGUCCCGCAACGAGCGCAACCCUUGAUCUUAGUUGCCAGCAUUCAGUUGGGCACUCUAAGGUGACUGCCGGUGACAAACCGGAGGAAGGUGGGGAUGACGUCUAAUCAUCAUGCCCCUUAUGACCUGUGCUACACACGUGCUACAAUGGACAGAACAAAGG